GCUUCUUUCCUCCCGAGUGCUUGCACUCAAUUGGAAAGAGGAGUGGCGGACGGGUGAGUAACACGUGGGUAACCUACCCAUCAGAGGGGGAUAACACUUGGAAACAGGUGCUAAUACCGCAUAACAGUUUAUGCCGCAUGGCAUAAGAGUGAAAGGCGCUUUCGGGUGUCGCUGAUGGAUGGACCCGCGGUGCAUUAGCUAGUUGGUGAGGUAACGGCUCACCAAGGCCACGAUGCAUAGCCGACCUGAGAGGGUGAUCGGCCACACUGGGACUGAGACACGGCCCAGACUCCUACGGGAGGCAGCAGUAGGGAAUCUUCGGCAAUGGACGAAAGUCUGACCGAGCAACGCCGCGUGAGUGAAGAAGGUUUUCGGAUCGUAAAACUCUGUUGUUAGAGAAGAACAAGGACGUUAGUAACUGAACGUCCCCUGACGGUAUCUAACCAGAAAGCCACGGCUAACUACGUGCCAGCAGCCGCGGUAAUACGUAGGUGGCAAGCGUUGUCCGGAUUUAUU
rnacentral:rRNA from 1 species